UGAGCAAUCUGCCCUUCACUUCGGGAUAACUCCGGGAAACCGGUGCUAAUACCGAAUACGACCACCUCAGGCAUCUGAUGGUGGUGGAAAGUUCCGGCGGUGGAGGAUGAGCUCGCGGCCUAUCAGCUUGUUGGUGGGGUAAUGGCCCACCAAGGCAACGACGGGUAGCCGGCCUGAGAGGGUGACCGGCCACACUGGGACUGAGACACGGCCCAGACUCCUACGGGA
rnacentral:rRNA from 1 species